GAAAAAACGAGCACACAGAUCAGGAGCGAUAUUUUUAAGUGUUCAUCACAAGCACCGCUACGUCUUCGUGUUACAUGUAGGUGCUGUCGUCUGACGGACGCACAUUCACAGCCAUACCACCAGUGUCAGCACAAUUCCCAGAAACUGCCCCAUUCCUCCACCACCCUCUCAGGGCCUAUACAGCAGCUUCGCUCUUCAGAGAAACUGCAUGCUUGGCGCCAGGGACGCAAAGGCCCAUGUGAGUGUGUGUGGCCCCUGUGCACUUUCUCUGCCCCUGAAGUCCCCGUGAACAAACAAGCCAACCAUCGGCCAGCGCAGCAAAUUCUCCAAACAGUGCAUGACUAAGAUUUUUAUGGGUCCUCUCUAUAUUUAAAGCCUAAUUUCACAAGCGUGUGUCUAUAACUGUCGGCGUGUCGACAUAGCUCUAGAACAGCAUGAAUGUGAGAUCUAUAUUUAAAGCUAAUUGUCGGGCAGACGCUAUGUUUACCCCCUCUGGAGCCAUGUGGCUUGUCUGUUACCAAACCAAAUGUUUUCACACCAAAUAUACAGUACACACGCAUGCACGCACACACACAGUUACACAUUCUGUAUUUUUAACCCCUUUUUCAUAAAGUAAUUUACACACAGUAUCUGGUGUUAAUGCACAGACAGAAAACAUGUCAUAAGACUGAAAGGUUUGACCGGAACCGAUCCUCACAGACAUUCAUCAAUCACAUACACACACUCUCGAGUCACGCUGAGAACCCCCCCACUCUCCAGUAUCAAACAUUUUCCAAAUAGCUGUGCAGACCACAGAAUAGUUCCCCUCGUUUAGUGGCAAACAUAAACAUCAGAGACUCUCUCCUUUCUAAGACGGCUGCCGCAUCCAAGGAAGAUUUUCCAGCAGCCCUCCACAGCUCUACUUUCUCAUUUUGGGGGACUGAAUUAUAGCGUUGACACCACAUCGGCUAACGGAGUAUCAUCCAGAAGUCGCGGAGUCUCACUUCAGACUGUGAUAUCAUUAGGUCUAGAAACUUAAAUUAAAGCUUGUUAUCAAAAUAACACACACAUAGAAUGCCACCGUGGACUGAGUGACCUUGAAAUUGACUGGUGAUUUUACAAAAGUAAAUAUUAAGCGAUAUAAAUAAACUUAAAAAUUUUAACCAUUACUAGUUGACUUGACCAUACUGUAAAUGCACUGAAAAGAAUUCUACCCACUAAAAUUAGUAAUUUGAUUGCCUUAUUUGUAUUUAACAAAUUUAAUUUGGAGUAAAAUUGGUGGCAAAGUUUUAAAUUACUUUAGAUUGAUUACUUCAGAUUUACUUAUGUAGUGACGAAAACAAACACAA